CUCCUCUAACCACUAUACGUAUUUUGCCUUUAAUUUACCCGGAAAAAUCAAGAUUUGCGAAAACACGGCUCGAAGAGAAAAAUCCUAGAUUCCGCCGCGAAGAAGGAGACAUUUCAAAGCAGUGCAGCUCGAUUGCUAGCGAGUCUCCGAUCCAAUUCUGCGAAUUAGUUCGUCGGCGAUUUAGCCUAUUUCUAGGGUUUUUAAGGUUGGGUGAAACGCCAAACCGUUGGAGCUGGAUCUUCGGUUAACGUCGCCGCCGUCAUUGAUUACCUUAUUUCUUAGAUGGUGCCUGAUAUUGUAGAGGGUGAUGGGUUUGUUGGGAGGCAGCCUCAUAUCAAGUAUGAGCUCAGAGAUAGUCCUGGUCUUGUGAAUGUAGGAGGAUACAACCAAUGUGUAUUCUUCAACUGCAGUUAUAGUAGUUCGGAUACUCCACUGAGUGAGGGUCAGUGCCAUUGGUUUUCUCCCAAGGGUUCUACUUUGCUUAAAGCGGGCUCUAAAAAUCGCAAAUGCCGCUCAACAGAUGGCUAAUGCUACUCGGGGUAGUGGUGGUUUAGUUAUGCUGUUCAUUGAAAUCAUCAAUAAGUAUCUCUAUUUUUUUGAGAAGGGAAACAACCAAAUCACCGUCAAUACAAUCCAGGAUCUAAUGGAAUUAAUUACUACAGAGAUGCAAAGUGAUAAUGCGGCAACAGAUUCUGCUGCUGAAGCUUUCUUUGCAAGCACAUUGCGGUACAUCCAAUUCCAGAAACAAAAAGGUGGCGCAGUUAGUGAGAAAUAUGAACCUAAUGAGAACUGAAAAGUUAAAACUUGAGAAAGGGAAACAAACUCGGUAACAAUUGCUCUUCAAUCCGCUAAACUUGUGAGAAUUGUCGCCUUUGAUCUUGCUCUUGGGACUCUUGAAUGGUUCCCUCAUUUGUCUUUGAAUACGCUGACGCUGACGCUGCGUGCUACGUGUGUCAUGGGAAGUUGCUUAUCCAAGCAUGAUCUCAACUCUCAAAUUGAUUUGGUAAUUGAAAUUUUGAAGCGUCCAGGAGAAGUCCUCCCUGUUUGUCUUAGUGUCGCACGAACGCUGUAAAUUCAUAAUUUAGUGUGCUUCAAUUUUAAUUUCUCGGCUUUUUUUUUCUCGGUUCAAAUUUUUAUUUUUAUUUCAUAUUGUAAUUUGUUUGAUUUUGGUCUGACAAUGGAGUUUUUUUCAUCUGCUUGAAUGAUA